rnacentral:tRNA from 1 species
CCCUGACUAACUCUAUUGGUAGAGCAUGAGACUCAUAAUCUCAGGGAAGUGGGUUCGUGCCCCACGUCAGGCG